rnacentral:rRNA from 1 species
UAUUUUAUAUGAGAGUUUGAUCCUGGCUCAGGAUGAACGCCGGCGGUGUGCCUAAUACAUGCAAGUCGUACGCACUGGCCCAACUGAUUGAUGGUGCUUGCACCUGAUUGACGUUGGAUCACCAGUGAG